rnacentral:rRNA from 1 species
AACACGACUCUCGGCAACGGAUAUCUCGGCUCUCGCAUCGAUGAAGAACGUAGCAAAAUGCGAUACUUGGUGUGAAUUGCAGAAUCCCGCGAACCAUCAAGUUUUUGAACGCAAGUUGCGCCCGAAGCCUUCUGGCCGAGGGCACGUCUGCCUGGGCGUCACGC